UCUGCGAACGAUGAAAAAUAAAGUCAGGCUUUGUGCUUAAAGGAUAACUGGGAUGGACCCAAAUCGAUACCCGUUCAGUAUUCCCAUUUUAUAAUUCUAGCUUUGGACAACAUAGGUUAAGAUGAGAAAGCAGAGUAUUGGAUUAUAUAGUGAGAAGGGAAAAGAAGGGAAGACAUGUAUUGAUCAAGAACCUUUCCAUUCCAGAUUCUCAUAAUGGAUUCUUUGUCUAAUUCAUAU
rnacentral:lncRNA from 1 species